rnacentral:rRNA from 1 species
UACGUAGGGUGCAAGCGUUAAUCGGAAUUACUGGGCGUAAAGCGUGCGCAGGCGGUUUUGUAAGACAGGCGUGAAAUCCCCGGGCUCAACCUGGGAAUUGCGCUUGUGACUGCAAAGCUGGAGUGCGGCAGAGGGGGAUGGAAUUCCGCGUGUAGCAGUGAAAUGCGUAGAUAUGCGGAGGAACACCGAUGGCGAAGGCAAUCCCCUGGGCCUGUACUGACGCUCAUGCACGAAAGCGUGGGGAGCAAACAGG